rnacentral:rRNA from 1 species
GACGAACGCUGGCGGCGUGCUUAACACAUGCAAGUCGAACGAAGUGGCGAACGGGUGAGUAACGCGUAAUCAACCUGCCCUUCAGAGGGGGACAACAGUUGGAAACGACUGCUAAUACCGCAUACUGAAGGAGGGGCUUGCGUCUGAUUAGCUAGUUGGAGGGGUAACGGCCCACCAAGGCGAUGAUCAGUAGCCGGACUGAGAGGCUGAAGGGAAAAAUUGGGACUGAGAACAGGCACAGAAUCCUACGGGAGGCAGCAGUGGGGAAUCUUUCGCAAUGGACGAAAGGCUGACGGAGCAACGCCGCGGGAGUGAUGACGGCCUUCGGGUUGUAAAGCUCUGUUAAUCGGGACGCGGUACCGGAAUAGAAAGCCACGGCUAACUACGUGCCAGCAGCCGCGGUAAUUC